AAGUCGUAACAAGGUUUCCGUAGGUGAACCUGCGGAAGGAUCAUUAACACGUAUCCAACGUUAAACAACCCUGUGAACUUUCAACCGCUCUUGUAGCCCACGCGGAACAGCAAUCCCGGUAAAUCAAUUGGAGAAAAGGUUUUGAUUCGGGACCUCUGUCCAUCAGGCUAGGGCAUAUAGCCCUGUGACAUGUCUGCCGGCCGGUGAUCGACCUCUGGCAACCGUGAGGCGUUAUCCUUACUCAGUGGAUCCUUCUGCACUGCUUAGGGAAACCAUGCCACUGCUCCUAGCUCGAUUGUCCUCAUUCACACCUUGCCCUAUCUGGCCCCACGGAAACGUUGGGGCACAAACCGAACAACUGUUAACAAUGGAUAUCUUGGUUCUC
rnacentral:misc_RNA from 1 species